UACGGAGGAUGCAAGCGUUAUCCGGAUUUAUUGGGUUUAAAGGGUGCGUAGGCGGACGCAUAAGUCAGAGGUGAAAUACUUCAGCUCAACUGGAGAAUUGCCUUUGAUACUGUGUGUCUUGAGUAUAUGUGAGGUAGGCGGAAUGUGCAGUGUAGCGGUGAAAUGCUUAGAUAUUGCACAGAACACCGAUUGCGAAGGCAGCUUACUAACAUGUAACUGACGCUGAAGCACGAAAGUGUGGGGAUCAAACAGGAUUAGAUACCCUGGUAGUCCACACUGUAAACGAUGAUUACUGGAUGUUUGACCUUUUUUGGUUGAGCGUCUCAAGCGAAAGCAUUAAGUAAUCCACCUGGGGAGUACGUGCGCAAGCAUGAAACUCAAAGGAAUUGACGGGGGCCCGCACAAGCGGAGGAACAUGUGGUUUAAUUCGAUGAUACGCGAGGAACCUUACCCGGGCUCAAACGACAGGGGAAUGUGUGGGAAACUGCACAGCCAGCAAUGGCCGCUGUCGAGGUGCUGCAUGGUUGUCGUCAGCUCGUGCCGUGAGGUGUCGGCUUAAGUGCCAUAACGAGCGCAACCCUUAUUGUUAGUUGCCAGCGGGUCAUGCCGGGGACUCUAGCAAAACUGCCGGCGUAAGCUGUGAGGAAGGUGGGGAUGACGUCAAAUCAGCACGGCCCUUACGUCCGGGGCGACACACGUGUUACAAUGGGAGGUACAGAAGGUUGCUACCACGCGAGUGGAUGCUAAUCCCGAAAGCCUCUCUCAGUUCGGAUCGAAGUCUGCAACUCGACUUCGUGAAGCUGGAUUCGCUAGUAAUCGCGCAUCAGCCAUGGCGCGGUGAAUACGUUCCCGGGCCUU
rnacentral:rRNA from 1 species